rnacentral:rRNA from 1 species
GAUGAACGAUGGCGGCGUGCCUAAUACAUGCAAGUCGAGCGAACGGACGAGAAGCUUGCUUCUCUGAUGUUAGCGGCGGACGGGUGGGUAACACGUGGAUAACCUACCUAUAAGACUGGGAUAACUUCGGGAAACCGGAGCUAAUACCGGAUAAUAUUUUGAACCGCAUGGUUCAAAAGUGAAAGACGGUCUUGCUGUCACUUAUAGAUGGAUCCGCGCUGCAUUAGCUAGUUGGUAAGGUAACGGCUUACCAAGGCAACGAUGCAUAGCCGACCUGAGAGGGUGAUCGGUCACACUGGAACUGAGACACGGUCCAGACUCCUACGGGAGGCAGCAGUAGGGAAUCUUCCGCAAUGGGCGAAAGCCUGACGGAGCAACGCCGCGUGAGUGAUGAAGGUCUUCGGAUCGUAAAACUCUGUUAUUAGGGAAGAACAUAUGUGUAAGUAACUGUGCACAUCUUGACGGUACCUAAUCAGAAAGCCACGGCUAACUACGUG